UACAGAGGGGGCAAGCGUUGUUCGGAAUUACUGGGCGUAAAGGGCGCGUAGGCGGCCUUCUAAGUCGAACGUGAAAUCCCCGGGCUCAACCCGGGAACUGCGUCCGAUACUGGAAGGCUUGAAUCCGGGGAGAGGAUGCGGAAUUCCAGGUGUAGCGGUGAAAUGCGUAGAUAUCUGGAGGAACACCGGUGGCGAAGGCGGCAUCCUGGACCGGCAUUGACGCUGAGGCGCGAAAGCCAGGGGAGCAAACGGG
rnacentral:rRNA from 1 species